GACAGAGGGUGCAAACGUUGUUCGGAUUUACUGGGCGUAAAGCGCGUGUAGGCGGCUUUGCAAGUCGGAUGUGAAAGCCCACGGCUCAACCGUGGAAGUGCAUCCGAAACUGCAUGGCUUGAGUCUCGGAGAGGAAGGUGGAAUGCUUGGUGUAGAGGUGAAAUUCGUAGAUAUCAAGCAGAACACCUGCGGCGAAGGCGGCCUUCUGGACGAUGACUGACACUGAGACGCGAAAGCGUGGGGAGCAAACAGG
rnacentral:rRNA from 1 species